ensembl:lncRNA
GGGGAUGGGGAUGGUUGCCCCCAUGGGAUGUGCAGUGGAAAACAAAAAAAGCAGCUCCAUGCUGCCUGCCCAUCUGUCAAGGCCCCACAUCCCAGGGGACACAGUGGGAGGGUGGCUGGGGCGAGGCAGCCCCCAGGAUCCCAUUCCCCUGUUUUUACCGAGGACCAGAAAGGGGUAUCUCCUCUGUGCUGGUGUCUGUAGGGCUGGUGGGGACACACAGGCUUAGGGUCAGGGCUGCAGGGAGCUCAGGCUCUGCUCUGCAGAUCGUGUGCAAGGAAGGGAGGAAAGGUCUGUCAGGACAAAGGGCAGGUGGGGAGCGUGGUACCCCAGCAGGAUCCGCUCUGCCAGCCCUGCUGAGGGGCAGAAACCAGCAGGGCAGGAACCCACACGCAGCACGAGACGUGGGUUUGCCAGAGCUGGUGCUGCUGCAGCCCCUCCAACCACAGAAAGCACCGUGCUGUUGCUGGGCCAGACAGCCCCAACCCAGCAGGAAGGACAGGUGGGGCAGAGCAAAGGGCACCGGGCAGCACUCCGGCCCAGGACACGUCGGGGAUGAAUGCUGGUUUAUGCAACGUGCCAAUCGCUGAUGGCAGGGGGCACCGACCGACCUGGGCUCCUUGAAUCAGACGCUUCCAGCAGAAACAUCCAAAAUAAAAUAAAAGUAAAAAUCCCAGCAGAAAGCUUGACAGAAAGAGUGUCCAAAUGGCAUCAGGAG